AGAGUUUGAUCAUGGCUCAGAACGAACGCUGGCGGCAGGCCUCAAACAUGCAAGUCUAGGGGGUGUAGCAAUACAUCACCGGCGGACGGGUGCGUAACACGUGGGAAUAUACCUUUUGGUUCGGAACAACGCAGGGAAACUUGCGCUAAUACCGAAUGUGCCCUUACGGGGAAAGAUUUAUCGCCAAAGGAUUAGCCCGCGUCCGAUUAGCUAGUUGGUGAGGUAAUGGCUCACCAAGGCUCCGAUCGGUAGCUGUUCUGAGAGGAAGAUCAGCCACACUGGGACUGAGACACGGCCCAGACUCCUACGGGAGGCAGCAGUUGGGAAUCUUGGACAAUGGGGGAAACCCUGAUCCAGCCAUGCCGCGUGAGUGAUGAAGGCCUUCGGGUUGUAAAACUCUUUCGACGGGGACGAUAAUGACGGUACCCGUAGAAGAAGCUCCGGCUAACUUCGUGCCAGCAGCCGCGGUAAUACGAAGGGGGCUAGCGUUGUUCGGAAUUACUGGGCGUAAAGCGCGCGCAGGCGGUUUUUCAAGUCAGUGGUGAAAGCCCGGAGCUCAACUCCGGAACUGCCGUUGAAACUGUAAAACUUGAGGAUGAGAGAGGUGAGUGGAAUUCCCAGUGUAGAGGUGAAAUUCGUAGAUAUUGGGAAGAACACCGGUGGCGAAGGCGGCUCACUGGCUCAUAUCUGACGCUCAGGCGCGACAGCGUGGGGAUCAAACAGGAUUAGAUACCCUAGUAGUCC
rnacentral:rRNA from 1 species